UUGUUUUUUGAAAUGAUUUGAGCAUCAGUUUUGUUGUUGUACGUUUACAUGUACUUACAGAUGGUAUAAGACGAUAUAUAUACCACAUUCUAGGUGCGCUUGUCUAUUAAACUGAAGAGUUGAUUUGGCAUUUUUGAACUAGUAUAAUUAGACUCAUGGAGUUGUAAUAAUCUGUGAAAAUAUUUUUGGUGUUUUUCUGUCUGGUUUGAGAAUCACACGGGCCAGGAAAAAGUAAAGGUAGGCUAAAACUACAUUACUUUUCUUCUCUUUGAUUCAAAUAUCUCUUAUAACCACUGCAUUUUUUCUUUUCUUGUCUGGCUUUCAGGUAUAUCAUUCGAGCUCGGUCUGAAAAUGCUAAAUUUACUACUUGUUGCUUUUAGUAGGCUCCGAGGUAUGAAAGACCACCACAGGACUCUGUUGUGUACAUAACACAUUGUUUUUUGCUGGCCCCGAGGUAUGAAAGAUAAGCAUUUAGGUGAUUCUUGUUGGCCCCAACAUUGUUUUAAAUAUGAUUUCUUCUGUUCAAUGGCUUAUCAUGCAUUACAUUGAGCACAUCCUUUAUAAAUUUGAUAACUAACUCAGGUAUCUAAUUUUUUUUUUCGGGAUCUUUUUUGACUGCUAUGAUUACAAGUUUGAUGUCUCAAAGGAAAUUGCUGCAGAAAAGAAAAAGAGUUAUCCAAAGAAGAUCUACCUGGAUUCCGUUAGGUAUGGUCUUUUUUGUUUUGGUUCUUCCUUUUUCCAUGGGUCUUUCUAGGACAUCACCUUUUUUUUUGUUAACCUUUUGAUAGGAUGUAUCUACCGACGUUCAUUAAAACUCGCUAGUUAUGCUGUGCAGGUUAACAACUUCAGUGUUUUGAGCUCUCUCUCUCUCUCUCUCUCUCAGGAUUUUAAAUGCAAUGAAACUAUUUCUUCAUGACUCUCAGGUUGUUGGAAAGUAUGAGCGUUAUGGAGAAUGAGAUAUGCUGUCGUGCCAGUGAAAUCUAAGUAAUACUCUUUAUAUUUUGUACUUUUUACUCCUGAAGUAUUUUCUGAAAUAUGAGGUUCUCACAGUGAUAUUUUGGCAUAUUGUAGUUUUGCAAUGAGUGUUAUGUUCCAGAGGACAAAUUGGAGACUUACAAGAUAUUAUGGAGAUGGUUGUUAUAUAGGAAUAUGGAGUGGAUUUCUUAUUCCAGCAUCAAGUGUUUCGAGCUAUGAAUCUUCUGUCACAAUAUAAGUAUUACGGUUCUGACCCUUCUUAAGUUUUCCUUUUCCAAUUUUACUUUCACUUUUUCAACUUCUGACAACACUUUCUUAUUUAUGAUUUUGAUAGGUAGCAGAAGUUCUCUAUUUGUGAUGAUCGCAUCAUGCACUUGCUUCCAACUAUUUGCAAAUUUUUAAAUUUAUAUGGUUAUGUAGUUGCACAUACAAAUGCUGAAUUUAAAAUGCUUUUGCAGGUUGGAUUAAUUUCUUAGGCUUUAUAGAAUUUUCAGUUGCAGACUAAUGGGAUCGGAGCACCAUUACAUGAUAAUUUCUUCGUCAGAAUUAUCAUCAGAACAUCGACCACCUUUAACAGCAACCAAGGUUACUUACGUCUCAAGGAAAAUGUCUGUUUUUUCUGUCUCGUUUAUUCCUUCUCAAUAUCAUAUGAUAAUUUUUUUUCAUGACUUUUGUGCAGAAAAAUGGCCACCAUGUAAGUGAAGUGACUACGAUCAACGUACUACAUCGUUUUUUAUAUUACUUCUUUUUGGUCGUGUAAUUACAGGUUCAUUUUUACAUUUAGUUUUAUUUUUUGCAGGAUAUAUAUCAUUACACACUACGACAAAAGUUUACGAGACCCCUGACAGCAGACCUAGGAGACCUCUAACCGAUCGUCACCAUGUCCGUUGUUUUCUAGCAAACGAGAUUUUGAUCGUCUUCUUCAUGUGAAUUGUUCAGCCAUUGAGGUAUUUAGGUCACCUUCUUCGACAAGCCUAGCCAGCUGCAGCAGCCAUUGAUAAGGUGCGACAAGUCGAAGCGACAUAUCCAGCUCUGCUUUUCAAGCAGCAGCUUAAUGCUUAUGUUGAGAAAUUAUAUGUAACUAUUCGAGAUAACUUGAAGGAUUUGGGAGCACUUCUUGCUUUACGUAUUCAGGUAUGUUGAUUGAUAAAAUAUUUAUGUUUUAUUAAAUAUUAUGUGAGCAAUGCCUUCACGAUUUAUUAUACUUUAAUGAUUUCAGACUCCAAGAACCUCCAAAGGGAGUGUGUUGAGGUCUGGUCGAUCUUUCGGCAAACAUUCUCAAACAAAUCAUUGAUUGCCUCAAAUCAUUUGUUUAUCAGGUGACGUUAGCUGGAUUUUUUUCUUCUGAUAAGCUCUCUUUCUGUGUGUGUGCCCAUGUGCGUGAAUGUGUGUGUCUAUAUAUUCUAGUGAAGCUGUUCAGGUGACAUUAGCUGGAUUCUUUCUGAUAAGCUCUCUUUCUGUGUGUGUGCCCAUCUCUUUCUAUGUGUGUGCCCAUGUGCGUGAUUGUGUGUUUCUAUAUAUUCUGAUGGAGCUGCUGUGAUGAUUGUUGAUAAUUUGUGGAGCUGAUAAUUUGGGCAUUUAGAAACCCUCCCGUAUCUUGAUGUGGCGAACCCGGAUGGCUGCGAUUUUGGGGUAAUUUAUAUUUCCCCAAUCGCAUGCAACCGGUGAUUCUGCAGCCAUGACGGGGUGGAAUGUUUCUUUGCCAACUUGAAUUAAUUAUUGACUUUCUUGUGAAAAACUCUUCCUAUCUUUCUUGUUUGUAUGAUCACUCUCUUCUCUUUGG